UACAGAGGUCUCAAGCGUUUGUUCGGAUUCAUUGGGCGUAAAGGGUGCGUAGGCGGCGCGGUAAGUCGGGUGUGAAAUCUUGGAGCUUAACUCCGAAACUGCAUUCGAUACUGCCGUGCUUGAGGACUGGAGAGGAGACUGGAAUUUACGGUGUAGCGGUGAAAUGCGUAGAUAUCGUAAGGAAGACCAGUGGCGAAGGCGGGUCUCUGGACAGUUCCUGACGCUGAAGCACGAAGGCCAGGGGGAGCAAACGGG
rnacentral:rRNA from 1 species